GUGCUCGCUUUGACAGCACAUAUCCUAAAAUUGGAGCGACACAGAGAAGAUUUGCAUGGCCCCUGUGCAAGGAUGAGACGCAGAUUCUUGAAGCGUUCCAUAUUUUU